UCAACUGUUGAUUUUCUGAAGCAGCCUCUAAUGUUUGUUAAAUGUUGUGCUUCAGCUGUAAUGUUGAAUAUUUCUCUGUGUUUUCAUGGUGAAACUUGAUGAGGAAUAGGUAGUAGCGUAUUGAUCAUUUUCCUUUGAAUGUUUCUCUGUGAUUUCCUCCAGGUGUCACCACUUGGUCCACGACAUCGUCCACCAUCGCAGAGACAUGGUCCAUGAUCGGAGAGGCAUUGUUGAGGAUGAGGGAGACAUCGUCCACGAUCAGAGACACUGUCCACGAUCGCAGAGACCUUGUCAAAGACGAGAGAGACGUUGUCCAUGAUCAGAGACUUUGUCCCAUGCUUCGUAGAGACCUUGCGAUAGAAUCGGCGGAGACGGGGGUCACCGAUUUGACGGCACUGCCCGCGAUCAUGGAGACAUUGUCGAUGGUCACAGAGACAGCGUCUAUGAUCUCAGAGACAUCGUCCACGAUCGCAAAGACAUUGUCCAUGAUCACAGAGACUUUGUCCAUAAUCUCAGAGACAGUGUCCGCGAUCACAGAGACGUAGUCCACGAUCACAGAGAGUCUUUGUACAAUGAAGAAGUUCUUUGAGACCAGGACAGAGGCCUCCAGGUGUCACCACUUGGUCCACGACAUCGUCCACCAUCGCAGAGACAUGGUCCAUGAUCGGAGAGGCAUUGUUGAGGAUGAGGGAGACAUCGUCCACGAUCAGAGACACUGUCCACGAUCGCAGAGACCUUGUCAAAGACGAGAGAGACGUUGUCCAUGAUCAGAGACUUUGUCCCAUGCUUCGUAGAGACCUUGCGAUAGAAUCGGCGGAGACGGGGGUCACCGAUUUGACGGCACUGCCCGCGAUCAAGGAGACAUUGUCGAUGGUCACAGAGACAGCGUCUAUGAUCUCAGAGACAUCGUCCACGAUUGCAAAGACAUUGGCCAUGAUCACAGAGACUUUGUCCAUAAUCUCAGAGACAGUGUCCGCGAUCACAGAGACGUAGUCCACGAUCACAGAGAGUCUUUGUACAAUGAAGAAGUUCUUUGAGACCAGGACAGAGGCCUCCAGGUGUCACCACUUGGUCCACGACAUCGUCCACCAUCGCAGAGACAUGGUCCAUGAUCGGAGAGGCAUUGUUGAGGAUGAGGGAGACAUCGUCCACGAUCAGAGACACUGUCCACGAUCGCAGAGACCUUGUCAAAGACGAGAGAGACGUUGUCCAUGAUCAGAGACUUUGUCCCAUGCUUCGUAGAGACCUUGCGAUAGAAUCGGCGGAGACGGGGGUCACCGAUUUGACGGCACUGCCCGCGAUCAUGGAGACAUUGUCGAUGGUCACAGAGACAACGUCUAUGAUCUCAGAGACAUCGUCCACGAUCGCAAAGACAUUGUCCAUGAUCACAGAGACUUUGUCCAUAAUCUCAGAGACAGUGUCCGCGAUCACAGAGACGUAGUCCACGAUCACAGAGAGUCUUUGUACAAUGAAGAAGUUCUUUGAGACCAGGACAGAGGCCUCCAGGUAAUUCACAAACACCUUUACAUCAACUGUCCAACACAGAGCACUGACAUUAAACUGACAUUUAAACCUUUUCUGACCCCAUAAUAUAUGACAUUUUUGACCAAUUUUGACCUCUUACUAUAUUAUGACAUUUUUUGACCCUUUUUGACCCCGUACUGUACUAUGACAUUUUUUGACCAAUUUUGACACCAUACAAUACUAUGACAUUUAUUGACCAUUUUUGAUGACAUCCUAUACUAUGACAUUUUUUAACCAUUUUUGAUGACAUUAUAUACUAUGAUAUUUUUUGACCAAUUUUGAUGACAUGAUAUACUAUGACAUUUUUUGACCAUUUUUGACACCUUACUAUACUAUGACAUUUUUUGACCAAUUUUGACCUCUUACUAUAUUAUGACACUUUUUGACCCUUUUUGACCCCGUACUAUACUAUGACAUUUUUUGACCCUUUUUGACACCAUACAAUACUAUGACAUUUUUUGACCAAUUUUGACACCAUACAAUACGAUGACAUUUUUUGACCAAUUUUGACUACUUACAAUACUAUGACAUUUUUUGACCAAUUUUGACUCCUUACUAUACUAUGACAUUUUUUGACCAAUUUUGACCCUUACUAUACUAUGACAUUUUUUGACCAAUUUUGACCCCUUACUAUACUAUGACAUUUUUUGACCAAUUUUGACACCAUACAAUACUAUGACAUUUUUUGACCAAUUUUGACACCAUACAAUACUAUGACAUUUUUUGACAUAUUUUGACACCUUACUAUACUAUGACAUUUUUUGACCAAUUUUGACACCAUACAAUACUAUGACAUUUUUUGACCAAUUUUGACACCAUACAAUACUAUGACAUUUUUUGACAUAUUUUGACCCCUUACUAUACUAUGACAUUUUUUGACCAAUUUAGACUCCUUACUAUACUAUGACAUUUUUUGACCAAUUUUCA